GUAACUCUCCGUUGUGACUUCUUCCUCCUCCAGGCUCUGAGCUCCUAGAAAUCCAGUCCCUCCUGCCCUACCCACUGUGGAUUCCCUUUGCCUUGUCCAGUGUCUGGCAUGCAGGCAUGGCUCAGACAAUAGUCCUGCGAAGCCUCAGGAAGCAGCAUUUUCAUUUGGCAGGCACGCAGCUCGGCAGUAUCCCUGACCUCCUGCAGAGUCCAGGUGAGAUCAAGGCAGCAAAACAAACCGGAGGGGCUUCACUGCACCACCACUGAAUAAAACCCAGCACCUUCGCAACCAGGAUGAGACAACGGUAGUGUCUCACCUCUUCAUGGUUGUGAGGAUUCGACCAGCCAGCACUUGCAAAACGCACAAAACUUACCUCCACGUAGUAAGCACCCAACACGUGCUAGUUCUUGCUGUGUUCGUUGUCAUAACCAUUAUCAUUCUUCCAGCCUAAUUUUUGCCUUCAUCUGCAAAGCCUUCUCUAAACACUCUAAUUCACAGAUACCUCUUUUAUGCCGAACGGGUAUCACCCUUAAUAAAUGCCACCUAUUUGGAUUUGUUGUCCA
rnacentral:lncRNA from 13 species